UACGUAGGGGGCAAGCGUUGUCCGGAUUUAUUGGGCGUAAAGAGCGUGUAGGCGGCCAUACAGGUCCGUUGUGAAAACUGGAGGCUUAACCUCCAGACGUCGAUGGAAACCGUAUGGCUAGAGUCCGGAAGAGGAGAGUGGAAUUCCUGGUGUAGCGGUGAAAUGCGCAGAGUAUCAGGAAGAACACCCGUGGCGAAGGCGGCGUCUCUGGGACGGUACUGACGCUGAAGACGCGGAAAGCGUGGGGAGCGAACAGG
rnacentral:rRNA from 1 species